GAUGAACGCUGGCGGCGUGCCUAAUACAUGCAAGUCGAGCGAACAGACGAGGAGCUUGCUUCUCUGACGUUAGCGGCGGACGGGUGAGUAACACGUGGAUAACCUACCUAUAAGACUGGGAUAACUUCGGGAAACCGGAGCUAAUACCGGAUAAUAUAUUGAACCGCAUGGUUCAAAAGUGAAAGACGGUCUUGCUGUCACUUAUAGAUGGAUCCGCGCCGCAUUAGCUAGUUGGUAAGGUAACGGCUUACCAAGGCAACGAUGCAUAGCCGACCUGAGAGGGUGAUCGGCCACACUGGAACUGAGACACGGUCCAGACUCCUACGGGAGGCAGCAGUAGGGAAUCUUCCGCAAUGGGCGAAAGCCUGACGGAGCAACGCCGCGUGAGUGAUGAAGGUCUUCGGAUCGUAAAACUCUGUUAUUAGGGAAGAACAAAUGUGUAAGUAACUAUGCACGUCUUGACGGUACCUAAUCAGAAAGCCACGGCUAACUACGUG
rnacentral:rRNA from 1 species